AUUGAACGCUGGCGGCAUGCCUUACACAUGCAAGUCGAACGGCAGCACGGGUGCUUGCACCUGGUGGCGAGUGGCGAACGGGUGAGUAAUACAUCGGAACAUGUCCUGUAGUGGGGGAUAGCCCGGCGAAAGCCGGAUUAAUACCGCAUACGAUCCACGGAUGAAAGCGGGGGACCUUCGGGCCUCGCGCUAUAGGGUUGGCCGAUGGCUGAUUAGCUAGUUGGUGGGGUAAAGGCCUACCAAGGCGACGAUCAGUAGCUGGUCUGAGAGGACGACCAGCCACACUGGGACUGAGACACGGCCCAGACUCCUACGGGAGGCAGCAGUGGGGAAUUUUGGACAAUGGGCGAAAGCCUGAUCCAGCAAUGCCGCGUGUGUGAAGAAGGCCUUCGGGUUGUAAAGCACUUUUGUCCAGAAAGAAAUCCUUGACUCUAGUACAGUCGGGGGAUGACGGUACCGGAAGAAUAAGCACCGGCUAACUACGUG
rnacentral:rRNA from 1 species